UUUCUUUGAGCUUAAACAGCAGCUGGAUUGUGCCCCCUCCUGGCAGACCACACUGCCCCCUCUCCCCCGAGCUGUUGGGGGGACAGGCAGGGGUUUGAUCUAGAUAAUCCACAACCGGCUUUCACACAGGCACCAGUGACUGCUCAUGGAGUUGGGGCAGGGUGUUGGGGGGGGGGAGAGAAGGGGUUCGGGAAGGCCCCCCACCCACAUCAGUGCUGGCCCUAAUGCCCCAGUGCAGUGCUGGGGGGUGCUCUCCCCUGGCAGUCUGGGCUUGGCAGGGGGUGCUGCGCUUUGCCCUGGCUCCCUUGCCCCAUUGAAGCGCCACCUCUCUGUCCCCACCCAGGACCCCCCCACCACAAGAGAAUGAGGUGCUAGGAGACGGGGCCAUUCACAUGCCAGGGUGUUUAAUGGGGUGGGGGGACAGGGAUCAGCAACAUAUACACAGGCUCACUUAUACGCGGGGCAGAGAAGGCACCUUCAUGUGUCCCACACAUUUGGGGCACCAGCACACACAGAGGGUCGGAGGGGGGAGCACAGACCCCCCCCUUUGCAGGCACAGCCCCAGGGUAGGGCAAGGAGGUAUUGGGUGGGGGCUGUGUACAGAUAUGGGGCUUUUCCCCUCAAGGGGCACCAGCCCCAGGGCAGGGCAAGGAGGGAUUGGGCCCCCUUCUGCCCUGAACCCUGGGAACAUCGGGGGGGGGGGCACAUUGCAGGAGGGGGAACCCCUAGUGGUGGAGGGGGGUAUAGCAGCUGGGGGCUGUGUACAGAUAUGGGGCUUUUCCACCAGCCCCAGGGCAGGGGACUGACCGGGUCAAUGAAAAGGACACUGGGCCCUUCCCCUCUUCACAGGUUGCCGGCUGGCUCAAGGGGCCGGGGAAUGGGGCCCGGGGCCCUUCCCCUCCAGGGGGGGGGGCUGCAGAAGAGUUUACUUUGGCCGCACAGAGUGAGUGAAAAAUCAGUUGGAGAGGCGAAAGGGGGCAGUGGCUUGAAAUCCCCUCCACCCCCGGGGCAAGAACCGCCCCAUUCCAUCCUGCGCCCCUUAGUGGUGAUGAGAUACCCACACCUGCACCCCACAUCCAGAGGCACUGGGACUACUGGAUCCUGGGUGCUAUGCCCCAU